UACGUAGGGCGCAAGCGUUGUCCGGAAUUAUUGGGCGUAAAGAGCUCGUAGGCGGCUUGUCACGUCGGGUGUGAAAGCCCCGGGGCUUAACCCCGGGUCUGCAUUCGAUACGGGCAGGCUAGAGUGUGGUAGGGGAGGACUGGAAUUCCUGGUGUAGCGGUGAAAUGCGCAGAUAUCAGGAGGAACACCGAUGGCGAAGGCAGGUCUCUGGGCCACUACUGACGCUGAGAAGCGAAAGCAUGGGGAGCGAACAGG
rnacentral:rRNA from 1 species